rnacentral:rRNA from 1 species
GACGAACGCUGGCGGCGUGCUUAACACAUGCAAGUCGAACGGUAAGGCCCUUCGGGGUACACGAGUGGCGAACGGGUGAGUAACACGUGGGUGAUCUGCCCUGCACUUCGGGAUAAGCCUGGGAAACUGGGUCUAAUACCGGAUAGGACCACUGCCUGCAUGGGGGGUGAUGGAAAGCUUUUGCGGUGUGGGAUGGGCCCGCGGCCUAUCGGCUUGUUGGUGGGGUGAUGGCCUACCAAGGCGAUGACGGGCAGCCGGCCUGAGAGGGUGACCGGCCACACUGGGACUGAGAUACGGCCCAGACUCCUACGGGAGGCAGCAGUGGGGAAUAUUGCACAAUGGGCGCAAGCCUGAUGCAGCGACGCCGCGUGAGGGAUGACGGCCUUCGGGUUGUAAACCUCUUUCAGCACCGACGAAGCGCAAGUGACGGUAGGUGCAGAAGAAGGACCGGCCAACUACGUGCCAGCCGCCGCGGUAA